CCACAUUGUCCAGAAACCAUCACAUUAUCUCCAGGUCACUAGUCGCCGGUGCUCGAGCUGAUGGCGUCGUUCAAGGGCUCCACGCUGCCGCCGCCGCCGCGACCAUCCGACUCCUGGGCCCUGUUUCACGGCAGCGUACUGCAGCGCGCUACGCAGCGCUGCUGUGUUAGUGCGGCGAUUGAGACGAAUUUGGCUCGACGCUUCAGCGUUGCGAAACACCCGUGUCUAUGAAGGAUACGCCGAUACGUCCCCCAGCUUCAAGCCCUUCCUGCCCCUCCCCCCCCCCCGCCCCGUCCCAACGGUGUUGGCCGAGAUUGGGGUUUGGUAUUUUAACGGGCUCUCCGAUGACGUCCCGCAAUUUGUGUUAUAUAAUUUGACGAUUAUGUCGUAGUCUCAUUCUGUCUCGAUAUGCUAAUAAAUGAUAAAUGGGACGGAGGUUGGAAGUAAGGUGUGAGUGGCUGUAACCGGCAGGUUUUGGCGAGCGCGAUAUUAGUUAUCGUGAGCGCGCCAGCUGCAAUCAAUCGCGCGCUUCUGGCGAGAAAAUACUUGCUCUGGAACCUAGAAGUUUGUCGUGAAAUCUAUGUACCUUUGGAUUGAAUUAUUAGAACAUAAUGUACUUUCGGUGUCCAGCACUGCAGCUCUGGAAACAGAAAUAUGGAUGUUGGCUGUUUGAUGUAGCAAGGGCUAACAAUCCGCGUCAAGAAUCAAAAGCUAUAUGCAAAUUAAAGUGAAUAUAUUUCAAUGAAUUUUUUAAUUUUGUGAUACAAAACAUAAAUGUGUCAACUACUGAUUACACCCGGCUGCAAACACUGUAACGCUUGCAAUGCUGUACGGCAAAUAGAUAAUAUAGAUUCUC